GCUGUGUCCCACAGGAUCUGUUUUGCUAAAACAGGAAACAAGAAACGGUGCCCUGCUGACUGCCCUGUCCUGAUCAGCAGGUUUAGAAGUGCAGUGUUAUUCUUUUCCUCAUUUACUGAGUGUCAAUUUUUGAAAUAUCCUGUCCUUCCCACUUUGAGAACUUUCCUCUCAAUUGUACCUCCAGGAACAGCGACACUGGCUGGUCAAAUCUUUCCCCCGACUGGCAUACCUCUUCCACCUCUUCACUUUCAGCACCACAGCAAGUAACUGCCUUGUCGAAUCUUACAAAGCAUUGACUCAGCUUCUAUGCUGCAAAGCACUGGCCCUGAAGCUGAUAAAGCUCUGUCUCUGGGAAAGACACAAGUUAGGGCUUCCGGUGGAAUCAAUGUUUCACCUGGAGAGCUUUAAUUUACUGAAGUUGCUAACUGGAAAUGAGGCCAGAGGUAACGGGUUCCAUGGGACUGUGAUGAACCCACUGUACCCCUUCAGCCUGUGA
rnacentral:lncRNA from 1 species